CCAUGAUGUAUGAAGAGUGAAAACUGUAGAAGAGAGAGCAAUUUCAAUUUGUUUGGAAAAAUUUCAGAGAAUCGUACUGCAGCUCCACCUUCUAUCCUCCCCUCUGGCUCUUAACAUUUCAUCCCCAUACACACACAUUGGAAAAUCUGAAACAGUCUAAAAACUGGACGAUAUAAUAACUUUGUGUUUUGAUAUCAGAAUGCCCAGUUAGCCCAAUUAAGGCCAAAGUCUUGUAUUUGGUCUAAACUUUUAAUAAUUUUUCUAUAUUAAAGUA